GCUGGAUUAGCUCAGUUGGUAGAGCAUUCCCAUGGUAAGGGAAAGGUCCUGAGUUCGAUCCUCAGAUCCAGCU
rnacentral:tRNA from 1 species